rnacentral:tRNA from 2 species
CGGGUAUAGUUCAAUGGUAGAACGUGUGCUUCCCAAGCAUAUAAUGCGGGUUCGAUUCCCGUUACCC